rnacentral:rRNA from 1 species
GCUGCAACUCGCCUGCAUGAAGUCGGAAUUGCUAGUAAUCGCGGAUCAGCAUGCCGCGGUGAAUACGUUCUCGGGCCUUGUACACACCGCCCGUCACACCAUGGGAGUCGGUAACACCCGAAGUCUGUAGCCUGACGCAAGAGGGCGCAGCCGAAGGUGGGAUUGAUGACUGGGGUGAAGUCGUAACAAGGUAAC